AGUGAACGCUGGCGGUAGGCCUAACACAUGCAAGUCGAACGGCAGCACAGUAAGAGCUUGCUCUUACGGUUGGCGAGUGGCGGACGGGUGAGGAAUACAUCGGAAUCUACUUUUUCGUGGGGGAUAACGUAGGGAAACUUACGCUAAUACCGCAUACGACCUACGGGUGAAAGCAGGGGAUCUUCGCACCUUGCGCGAUUGAAUUAGCCGAUGUCGGAUUAGCUAGUUGGCUGGGUAAAGGCCCACCAAGGCGACGAUCCGUAGCUGGUCUGAGAGGAUGAUCAGCCACACUGGAACUGAGACACGGUCCAGACUCCUACGGGAGGCAGCAGUGGGGAAUAUUGGACAAUGGGCGCAAGCCUGAUCCAGCCAUACCGCGUGGGUGAAGAAGGCCUUCGGGUUGUAAAGCCCUUUUGUUGGGAAAGAAAAGCAGCAGGUUAAUACCCCGCUGUUCUGACGGUACCCAAAGAAUAAGCACCGGCUAACUUCGUG
rnacentral:rRNA from 1 species